GAAAUGCGAUAAGUAAUGUGAAUUGCAGAAUUCAGUGAAUCAUCGAAUCUUUGAACGCACCUUGCGCUCCUUGGUAUUCCGAGGAGCAUGCCUGUUUGAGUGUCAUGGAAUUCUCAACUCUAUUUGCUUUUGUGAAUAGAGCUUGGAUUUGGAGGUUUAUUGCUGGUACUUGUGAUCGGCUCCUCUUGAAUGCAUUAGCUCGAACCUUUGCGGAUCAGCUAUCGGUGUGAUAAUUGUCUACGCCGUUGCAGUGAAGCAUAUCAAUGGGCUCGGCUUCCAAUCGUCCUUUAUUGGACAAUGACUUUGACCUUUGACCUCAAAUCAGGUAGGAUUACCCGCUGAACUUAAGC
rnacentral:misc_RNA from 1 species